rnacentral:snRNA from 1 species
AUAAUUUUGUAUUGUAUCAAUGUAUCAAUAAUAAAAAAUAAAAAUAAAAACUCUUCAACAGUUUAAUAUCUGAUACGUUCCCCACCGGGGGACUACAUAUUAAAUGGAUUUUUCUAACAGGGAGUCGAAAAAUGGGGCUUGCUCCGUCCACUCCACGCAUCGACCCGGUAUUGCAGUUCCUCUGGGAACGGUGCAACACUU